rnacentral:lncRNA from 1 species
UGCUCUUUGAGGGUUGUUAUGGCUGAAAAUGAAAUCCUGUGGCCAGGGAGACUCCGAAUUUUGUUACACACGUCUCCAGAGAGCAGAAACACAAUCCAUUCCUUGAUUUGUACUAAAGAUUGCUUGACAUGUUACUUGAAGGAGUCCAUAGACAUAUUGCCUAAACAGGUCCAUUUGGAUGCCCUAAGAAUCAUUGAUCUUUGAAAUUUCUAAUCAUAAUCUACUUGCAAGUCAACACGAAAUGAUGUUUGUCCAAAAACUGGUGGUCAUUUAGAUGUAAAAGCAUAAUUGUUUGAAAAUGGGCUCAAAAUCCUUUGGAGCAUUCGGAGUUUGACUCUUGGCAAGACAAGAUUUCCUGUUUCUAAGAAAAAAGGCUCAAUGCAGCUUCUUGGACAUCAAAACAACAUUUGAUGAAUUAAUUGUAAAUGAAUCAGAAACAUAUGGAGUCAAUUUCCCCUGCAAUACACAUGUGUUUGAAAAAUUAAAGGGGGAAAAUG